GGCAAAAGAAAAAGAAAAUGUAUUUAUGAGCUGUAGUGAAUUGGUACAAAAGUUGGAUCCAGAUGGAUUGAAGUCAGCUCCUACUUAUUUUUCUGCAGUGUGAGGAUGACAGUAUCCUGAGGGAGAGUCGUGAGAAUUUGACACUAUGUUGGGGACUAUCUCAAUGUUCAGCGCAUGGUAAGCACUCAAUAAAUUAGAGCUACUAGCCUUUGUAACUAUUAGUGUCCUUGUGUUUGUAGUUCCAUUUGGUCAGAGGAACUUUCAGUUAAUAUUGAUGCCAUGAGUCCAGCCUUUGUUAGCCUUCAUACGCUGUCCUAUCUUUGCUCUGUGUUGGAAGCUCGGAUUUAUGACUGUGACAAACCAGGAAAUUAAUUUCAGAUCCAAUUUUGCAAUCUCCAGUAUUCCUUUCUACAGGUAUCUAAAUGUUGAUUUUCUACAUUGAGGUUCAUACACCACAUAUGAGGAAAUGAUCUGGUAUCUAUCUCCAAAACUGUCGCUAGAUCUCAGUGCUCACAGCUAAUAUUAAGAGUCCUCACAGACUCAUUUCUCCAAGUUUCUGAAUUCCUUGAACUUCAUCUAAGGUGGAUGCACACAUAAGCCUUUCUCAUUCUCCUUUCAAAAUGAAAUUUCCUUUCAGCCUUCUUCCCUGCCCAAAGCAGGAAACAACUCUCCUGCUCCCCAGCAGCUCUCUCUAUGUUUUCACAAUAUUAGGAGGCACUGUCUGCUAUUUGGAAUCAUUUUGGCUUAUUAUAAGGGCUCACACUGUACUUCAUUAGCAGGGCUGCUGUGAAAUUAUGAAACAUUUUGGUGAAAAUUACAAGCUAUUUAGACUCAUUUCUUGCUGAAAAUAUGCAAAGCCCUUCGGGGAAAAUGCAGACAGAUGGUGUUUGAGACAUUUAUUGUUUUUCCUAUGUAUUUGUAAACAAAUACUAUAAAUUAAGCAUUUCAGAAUGAUCUUUAGAAAAUCUAGUUGCAUAUUAAUAUAUCAAUUGAUAUCAAAUUAAAGAAAUUGUGAUACCCGUUUCCAUCUUACCAGUGCAUUUUUUCCUGUCUGUACUCUGUUUUGAAAAGGUUUCAGAAUUGAUCCAAAAUUGAUUGUUGAAAAGCUCCAGAAAAAGCAAAAGCAGGAGUCUCUGUUCUUUUUUUCUCCAGGUAUAUUUUUUAUAACUCAUGUAAGUGCAAUAAUUAACCCUACAAAAAUAUUAUAUUUUUCCUCAUAUAUAACAAUAUUAUUUGUAUCUACCUAGAAAACCUUAUGUAGCACAAAUUCACAGUCAUCUACAAAUGAAAUGAAUUAUUCACUUCUUAUCAUUUGAGAGUCUACAAAAUGUAAUUUAUAUUCUUUGUGGGUUAUCUCUAGGGAAGAGCUGUGAUGUUUGGAAGCUUACAUGUGCUACUCUGAAGACUACUGGAGCAAGUGGUAGCACAUGAGUAACUGUGUUUAAAGGAAAGUGUCCUUAGUUUCUAGCUAUUUUAGUGCUAAGGCAAAAAAUUAUUACUAGUGGUAAUAAGCAAAGUUCAAACAUGGUUCUCAUGCAAAUCAAGGAGGUAGGUAUUUUUGAAAGUAUAAAUCAUCCGUAUCUCUCCAUUAGUUGAUUUAAAUUUUUUCUUUUAUUUUGCUUAAUGUUCCUUCCCCUUGUUCCAAUAAUAAUUUUACUCCAG
rnacentral:lncRNA from 1 species